GUGCAUGUCUCAGACACUUAAAUUUAGAGAAUAAUCGAUUUUUUUAAGUAAUGAGCGUACAAUUUUUUAGUGCAUCGAAUACACCGUAUAAUUUGCCAUGAAAUUAACAAGGACCUUAUUAAUGAUGAUGAGAAGUUCAUAUUCUAGUAAUCACAAUACCGAAACACAACAGAAGUCACAUGUUGGACUUUGUAGUAAUCCUCUCCUCCAUCUUCAAGCCUGGUUUUGAAUGCUUUAAGCAUUGAUCUUAUCUCCAUUUUCUGAAGGGAAGUGAUGAACCUUAGUCCAUCAGGAACCAUCUUCAUAGAUGUGCAAUUUGAAAUCACUAAACUGCACAGAUUCAACAUGGCCCCUUCUUCCACCCUCCAGUCUUCUAAGUUGGGCAAGUCACAAAGGAACAGAGACUUCAGUUGUGGAAAACCUUUGUCACAGCAAACCAUUGCAGACCCAAGAAAUGAAUCCAUUUGUAAACGGAGGAUUCUUAAGUUUGGCAGCUUUUCCAAUGUCACCAUUGGAUCUUCCAUAAGUUUAGAUCCCUGCAGGUUCAAUUUGGCGAGGUUUGAGGAAAAUUGAUGGCUCUCUGGUAGCUUCUCUAUCUGGCCUUCUAUAUGCAGCUUAUAAAGAUGAGGACUUUCUGUAAUAACUUGAAUUACAGUAGAAUCUUCAUUACUGACAAAGGACAAAGUCUCCAAGUGGUUAAAUGAAGCACCAAGUGAUUUGAAGAGUAGCCCGAAUUUCGGAUCAUCUAUUACUAGUUUCUUGAGAUUGGUCAGACUUAGUAGAUCUUUUAUAUUACAUUUUUCUGCAGGAAAGUUCACUAGUGUCUGCAGGUCGCUCAGUGUAGCCAACUGCCAUUUAUCUGAAUCAUCACCACAGGAUUCAGGAAGAUAUAAAUGCCUCAACCUUUGCAUCUUCCAUAUCACAUUUGGUAUUUGUACAGUUGAAUUCCAAGUCAAAAGGUCUAGGGUCUGCAAGUACCUCAAGUUGCCUAUUGUAAAUGGCAAUUCAUCUAUAUCAGUAUCCCUCAGGCUCAAGAAUCUCAAGUGGAUCAACAUGCCAAUUUCUUUUGGUAACUUUCCAUCAUGACUCUGAAUUCCUUCAAGAUCUAAGACCCUGAGUAACUUAAAGUUGUUGAAAACUGAUUUUAUUGAUCCCCAUUUCUCUGCAUGACAUGGUUUUUCAUGGAAAUACAGAAGAGAUCUAAGGUGGGAAUUUCUUUUGUAUCGAGAGGGGACAAAUCUUUUAAGGUCUCCAUCCAAAAAGAUUGCAAGUCUACGAAGCCUACCAAUUGACCUUGCUUCAUUUACCAGGGAUGAAGGAAAUGAGUAAACCGAGUGAUCAUUUGCAUGCAAUUGACAAUAAGUCUCUAGAAAAUUUUCCUGUUUUGCCUUUGACAAGCAUAAGUCUCGCAUAAGGUCAUGCAUACGGCAAGUUCUAAUCCUUCCAGUUGAGCCUCUUUCUACUACCUGAACCAUACACCUCUGGACCAACUCAUCUAAGUAACGCUGAGCUACAUCCUCCAUAAUUUCCUCCAUUUCUUCAUUGUGAAUGCAUGAUAUGAAUCCCUCAGCAACCCACAUCCGGAUCAACUUUUUCGUAGGUAUCUCAUAAUCUUCAGGGAAAUUGGCCAAGUGAAGGAAGCAAGGUUUCAACUGAUAUGGCAGUUCAUGGUAACUUAAAGCUAAAACCUCAGAUACUCCGAAGAGUUGUUCAUGGCCUUUGCCUCUCCUCAAGUGUGAAACAAUAUUUCGGCGAACUGUGUCCCACUCAUAGAUAGUUGUCUUAGUUGCCAGAAGUCCUCCAAGCACAAUGAUGGCCAAUGGUAGUCCUGUACAUUUCCCAAUCAUUUCUCUUCCCAGUUCCUCCAUUUGUGCUCUAAUUCUGAAGUCUGCAAUAAGCAUACAUGAACAUUUGACAGCAUUUAAAUUGAUCACUACUAAUAGUAAUAGUGAAGUGAUGUUACUCAAGAAAAGACUAUAAAAGUCCCAUAUUUGACAUCAUUAAUAUACUUGAUGAAUUAAAGUCUGACCCCUAGAAUAAGAAUGCAGAAAAAUAAUGAAGUGGGCAUACUCUAGUCAUGUGUUAUUCAUUUCCCAGUUAGGGACGUUUAGAGUUGCUCAUAUAUUCCCUUUAGCAUGUCUUGAAACUUUAAUAGUACUUUCUGUUGCAAAUAGUGAGUCCAUAGACCUACAUAGUAUCUGAAUACUGAAAGAAUUCAUGAAUUUCAUCCCCAACUAUUAAAAAUAAAGAAAUUUAAAGUUAUUUAAUGUUGCAGUAACUUGAGAGUGCUUACAAUUAUUUCUUUCAUAGCAUAGUAUACAUAGUUAAAUCUCUUUAAAUCAUGAAGUUGCUCCUAGCAUCUUUGAUUAUUUAAACAAUCCUUCUAAGGUAUAUAUAAUGUCAAGGAAAAGGACAGGGAAAGAGCCGGCUGAAGUGUGCUCUUUUGCUUCAAUUUGUUUUCUUUCUUGUAAAAAAAUCAGUGAAAGGUUUCAAAGCUAAAUUCUGAAAACGAUAGAUAACAUAUUUAUCUGAAAGUGGGGAACUAGUUUCAAAUUAGAAGAACUACCUGGAUAAUUUCUGGCAAGGAAUGCCUUCCUUUUAAACAAUUCCCAGCUCUCUUCAUCAUUUAAGUAUCUUGGUUGAUGGAGAAAGCAUGUUGGAUCUGGAUACAAUGCAACAUCCCUGAUACGAGUUGUGAGCAAUAAUUUGCUGCCAAACAUUCCAGUUCUAUAUGGAAAAGCAGGACGCAGAUUAUUCCAAGUCUCAACAGUCCAAAUAUCAUCCAAGAUCACUAAACAUUUCUUCUCUUGUUGAACUUGAUAAAGCAUCUUAACCAGUUCAUCGUCCCUUAGACUUGAAAUUUCCUCCCUCUGCUCUUUAGAUGGAUUGAUUAGCUUAAACAAGAUUCCUUCCCAGACAUCCCUGGGUUGACAUUGCUGGGAUAUAUAAGCCCAAGCAAAAGCUUCAAAAUGAUGCCUAACAUCAGGAUUAUGAUACAUCUUCUUAGCAAGGGUAGUCUUUCCAAGGCCUCCCAUUCCAUAAAUGGAAACAACAGUUUUUUCACUGCUCACCAAUUGUUCCACCAAAAUUUUCACAUCUUCCUCCAACCCAACUAUAUCAUCUUCCACAAUAUGGGAAUAAGACCUUCUCAAAUGUUGCCGCCUUCCUCCCUGUAGAGAAGGACCAGAGCUUUCUCUAGGUUGUAUCCCAUAAGUUUGCAAGCUUGUUGUAAGAUUAGAAAUCCUGGAUUUAAUAGUUUGGAUCUCAGAACCAACCCUGUAAAGCUCUACAGAUUCCUUAGCAAUUGUAGCAUACCUCUUGAUGACAUUGACUACACCUGAUCUUCUCCUCAAAGCAACUUUGAGGGCGAACUCUUCAAUGAUAUCCUCUACAUCAUAAGCAGCUUCUCGGAUUUCAGAAACCCAAUUGCGAAUAGUUUCUUCCUCGUCUUGCCUUGUAUCGGCAUCUUUCAAGAAAGAUUGCAUCCGCCUGAGCUCAAGCUGCAUGCCAACCACUUCCUCCUUCACUCCAUCUAGGAAAGUUGCUUCCUGAAUCAGCAAGUCAGCAAGUCCUUGCACCACUGUUGAUACUGCAGACUCUGCCAUGUUCUGUUCUGUUACAGAGAAGCUCUCUCCUUCCCUUUCUCUAUGACUAUGUCCCAAGUUUGAUUGGAUUUAGAAAAUAAGAUGGUAGAUGAGAACAGAGCUCUCCUUAGCAAUUAUCAAAUAUAAAGAAAUGGGAAGGAAACUGUAAUAUUAAAAGUCCAAAGAUACCCACAUGAGCACGAGGCCCACAAUCCGCGUAGUAAUCGCCAGCCAAUCCUUGAAUGUGGGUCAGAAAAUAAACUAGUCCACACAAACAGGCUGCUUAGAGAAACGUGUAGCGGAAGUACGGAGAAACUUUCUUUAUCAUUACUAAAAUAACAAGUAGAAUACGACGUGAAAAGCCCUGAAAAUCUCUACUAAACCGAACAAUUCAGAAAUCGAGGAGCUUAAACAACAGGAUAGGUUAAAUUCGGCUCAAUAGGUCACUACAGUAAUACAGUUCAACUUCAACAUCCUUUGUCAAAUCAAAACUUCACAGCUGAUCCACAUGGCAGAUAGUAAGACAUCAUUGAUAGAUUAUGCAUUUGGCUUGGCUCACAGGGUGAUUUUGGUAUAACAUUAAAGUUACUCUAUUCAUAAACAGAAGAUUACAGAUUCAAGCAAUGAAAACAAUAUCUAUAGAGAAUUAACCCUUUUUGUAUCCCACAUAUACAGGCUAUUUCUUUCACUGAGUCAUCUUUUUAUUUGCUUUGGCUUAGACAUGUCUCUAGAAAAAUAUAUUUUAAAAGCACAAUUUAUUUUCUACUUACUAUACGAAUUUUUAUUAUUAUUAGAUAUUCAUAGAAUAUUAAUCCCUACGAGGAUUGUGGCUGCCUUUCCCACGACUUUCUUUUAGUGCAAAUGCAACACAAGAUGUUGAUAACAGAACGAAUGGAUGAGAAGAACUAAUUUGUUAUAUAUUAGCAUGGUUCAAUCUGUUCCCUUCAGGUACCACUUUCAUGGAUAGCAUGAAUUUUGCCUGUUCUGUAGGUCACCUACGCUAUCUUCAACGGUGCUUUUGUAGCUAACUAAUUGCAUUCUCAAAUUUGCCUGUCUGGUGACAAAUUUGUAAUGCAUUUUAUAUCAGGUUAAGCUAUUAUUCUCCGGCUUGCAAGAAAAUAAAUUAGAUCUUUACCACUUUAGGCCUCAGUCCAUAUUAAACAUCCCUGAAUAAUCAAAGACUAAUUGAAUUGAGGUAGGAGGUGAGCAUUCGGUUAACCAAACUAAAUUUUUAAGUAACUGAAUUAUUAUCUAACUCUAAAAAUAUUAGCGGAAGCGAAUUGAAAUUAAGAAAAAAUCGAAUUUAAUCGAAAUUAAAAUUAAAAAUAUUCGAUUGGUUAUCAAUUAGUGUCGAAUUAAUUAAAAUAUAUAUAUAUAUAUA
rnacentral:misc_RNA from 1 species